rnacentral:lncRNA from 1 species
GCGUUCUGCCACGUGGCAAAUCUUUUUUUAUUUUAUUUUAAUUCGGCCGAAUUAGAUAAUGCACUUUUGCAGAAAAGCCCCUGUAACUUCAAAGCAUCAUAUCUUUCAAACCAUUUGUCCAAAAAUUGUGUUCCACACCUUUCUGAAAUCGUCACAACGUGUAGAAUAUUUUGGCACUGUUUAAUUUCAGUUUUGAACAACUUAGACAGUAGCUAUUUACAGAAACAAAACUUUUUACCUUGGAGGUAACCUUUGUGUGCAUCAUCAUGGCAUAUGCAUCAUGGCAUGGUUUUUGUAUUGAGUGUUGUGUUUAUUGUGUGUGUUCCUUUUAUUUUAGAUUGUGUGGAGUGUAAUCAUUGUUGUUGCGUGAUUCUCUCGUGGUUUAGGGAAUUACCUCUGAAAAUCUCGUAAUCGAUGCCGUUGCUACUCUAUCCUGAGGACAGAAAGGGAUUAACACGUCGAUUUCUUGUGGGGAAUGUGUACAAACUCUCGAGAGCGUCAAAACUAAGUACUUAGCCGUGUCCCCGGCAACGGACAAUUUGAGCAACUAGAUGUGGAGCUGUAAGGAAAGUCUCACUCAUUCUAACUUCUUAAAUAAAAUGAAUGGUUGAACAGGGUAGGAGCAGU